rnacentral:rRNA from 1 species
GAUGAACGCUAGCGGCAGGCUUAACACAUGCAAGUCGAGGGGUAGAGGAAGCUUGCUUCCUUGAGACCGGCGCACGGGUGCGUAACGCGUAUACAAUCUACCUUUUACAGAGGGAUAGCCCCAGAGAAAUUUGGAUUAAUACCUCAUAGUAUUUUCGGAUCGCAUGAUUUGAUUAUUAAAGUUCCAACGGUAAAAGAUGAGUAUGCGUCCCAUUAGCUAGAUGGUAAGGUAACGGCUUACCAUGGCAAUGAUGGGUAGGGGUCCUGAGAGGGAGAUCCCCCACACUGGUACUGAGACACGGACCAGACUCCUACGGGAGGCAGCAGUGAGGAAUAUUGGACAAUGGGCGAAAGCCUGAUCCAGCCAUGCCGCGUGUGUGAAGAAGGU